rnacentral:rRNA from 1 species
AGCUCCAGUAGCGUAUAUUAAAGUUGUUGCAGUUAAAAAGCUCGUAGUUGGAUUUCUGAUUUAACGCCCUAGUCUGCGGCAAGUUGUCGUUUGUGCUGGUGUGCGUUUAUCUUCCUUCUAGAAAGGCUUGCGGCGUCAUCGUGCGUCCGUUUGUUCGAUCUAGAUCUUUUACUUUGAAUAAAUUAGAGUGUUCAAAGCAGGCAAUCGCUGUGAAUACAUUAGCAUGGAAUAAUAAUAUAGGACUUCGCUUCUAUUUUGUUGGUUUUCAGAACGAAGUAAUGAUUGAUAGGGAUAGUUGGGGGUGCUAGUAUUGGCCGGCUAGAGGUGAAAUUCGUAUUCGGCUAAGACUAACUUAUGCGAAAGCAUUCACCAAGGAUGUCUUCUUUA